rfam:Pteropus alecto contig15253, whole genome shotgun sequence.
GUCUAUGGCCAUGCCACCCUGAAAAAGCCCGAUGUCUGAUCUCGGAAGCUAAGCAGGGUCGGGCCUGGUUAGUACUUAGAUGGGAGACCACCUAGGAAGACAAGUGCUGUAGGCA